rnacentral:tRNA from 27 species
GCGUCUGUAACUCAGUUGGUUAGAGUGUCACCUUGACAUGGUGGAAGUCGGUGGUUCGAGUCCACUCAGACGCACCA